ensembl:lncRNA
UGAGUUACUUCUGGCGAUCUGGUUCUGAGUUAUUCCUGGAAAUCUGGCUAGCAUUCUGAUCUAUCUUUUAUGAAUGAUUGUAUUAUGUUUUAAUGUUUGUAUAAUUGAAUUAGCUGUUUGGGGACAGAGUUUUUCAGUGACCAUAGCAAACUCCCUUUAGAAGUUAACCUUAUGAAGUUCUUCUGACUAUGAAGAAAAGAGACACUGUUCCCUCUAGGCUUCUGGGACGUUCCCAGGAAAAGAGAAGAGGCGAGAAGAGGAGACAAGCUGAGAAGAGAGGAGAGAACAGGAGAGGGACAGAAUGACGUUGUGUGUUGAAGUACAAUUGUGUUUUGGCUCCAAUGGCCUUGAAAAAGUUUUUUUCAGUUUUGUUACAAACCCAUCAUGCCAUCUGCAGGGAACUGGUUAAAUGGACUUGGCACAUCCACACAAAGGAGUAUUUUGCAACCUUAGAAAGAGAGGAAUGUUUACAACUACUUAUAGAAGCUGUGGGUCCUUCCAGUUGUGCCAUGUGGGAUGCCGAAUAAGAAUCUAUCUUAAAGUCACCUGUUUGUUCCCUGACCUAAGUUUAGAAAUCUACUUCAUGAAGCCAUCCACAUCUGCACUGGAAUAUUACUAGAAUUUGUUAGUUGUAAGUCUCAUUGGCUGGGACUGGUAAUGUCAGUUUCUUCUGAGAAGAACAGUGCCAAAGAUUCUUAAUGAGUAAUUUUGAUCUGGAAGAAAAUUCGUUGUUAUAACAUAAGGGAUUUUAUUAGAUUAAACAGAAAAAAAUACAAAGAAGUAUAAGGUACUAUAUUUUGUAAAGAUCAAAUGUUCUUGAAUAUCCUUUGUUAAAUAAAUCGUGUCAGUAAAAAUCAUUGUGCUAAAUCAUAAGAAAUUAAAUAUGAAUUGGCCAGCAAAACAGAUGUAGGUUAACAAGAUGGCUGGACACACAGGCAUGAGAAGAGAAAGUGUUUAGUUUUUAUAUUCUCGUCACUGAGAAAGAGUGGAAAUGGAAUGGAAUUGGAGUGGGCAAUGAUGGAGAUACUAUGGGAAAAAUUUGUGCAUAAACGUUAAGAAGUCUAGUCUGUCAUUUCACACCCUUUUAUCGUUUCAAUUUUCUUUGAGAUCCACUCUGUCUUUCCUGUCUUAUCUCCAUUAUAUAAGGAGAAAAGCUGCCUUGGAAAAGGUAGAGCUGUAACUUUCAGAAAUGCACUGUAAUUGGCAGCAGUUGUGCCAGCCUGCUAUGAAAAGAAAGCCCAUGAACGAGGUAUUUCAAAUCAACUGCAACAACAAAAAGAAAAGAAAUGAAUAUUUACCCUUGUAAUCAGUUAAAAUUAAAAGGUUCCUGGUUUUUAGCCAUAAAAUAAAAAGGAAUAAAGAAAAAGUAGAUUUGAAUAUAUAAAGUUUGUAUUUAAAUACAGCAAGCAAAACCCCGACAGAAAAACGGGCAAAUAAUGUGAAAAUAUAUUUAAAUAAACAGUAUGAACAUAAAUGCAUACUCAAUAUGUUUACACAACAAAGAACACAAGUUUUCCCUUCGGUAGUUGGCAAGAGUCAAAAUAAGAGGAUUUGAAACAUGAAAGGGGCAGUAUCAAGCCCCUUUUUGCCACAGCACAGCAACCCCGACUCGCCCCACAACCAGAGCCCAGAACCGGGAUAAGCAGGCGGAGGAAGCGGAAGGCGCGAGCGCAUUUGGGGAUUGUAGUCCACCGAGCUACCACGGGGGAUGCGAGCCGGCCUGAGUCAUCGAAGCGAGAGACGCUGUGCAGCGGUAGCGGAAGGAAAAGCUCGGCAGGGUCGCGGCGCGACUGGGGAACUGAGCCCGCGUGUGCGCACGCGCCAAGAAGAGCGCACUGCGCAUGCUCCCUGGCCAGUUGAAAGUCCCGUAACUACCCGUUCUCCGCGUUUUCCCCGCUUGAGACCCAUCCUGGGUCUUGAGAGAGCGGCGCGUUAUUGUUGUUCAGGGGAUUGUCAAAGUGUAAGGUGAAGAGAGACUAAUAAGCCAAGUUCAAAACAACUUUAUAAGAUCUUUACUAUCCGCAGAAGGCGAAUGUCGCUGUGACGUGACGCAUUAGUCUUGAGCUCCUAGAGGCCGGGGUGCGUCCUACUGACCUGUCCCCAGAACAGCCUUUUCCAGCCACUUCCACUCCCAGAGCCUCCUUGCACCUCAGGCCAUGUCGUCAGGAGUCCCCAGCCCUCUGUAGAGCCUCCGGGGCGUCUGUCAGCGGGCAGAGCCUGCUAGGACCCUCCUGUCAAGGCCAUUUGCUGGAGCCUCAGUGGAGGAGACUGGGCUGUUAAUUUCCGAAUCUGAAAUGACCAGAGCUGUGACCCUUUAUUUUGUAGAGUAAGCACUCAUCAUUUGGCAGGUGAAGAGAGAGUGAAUGUUGGUCCUCAGAGUAAAUUUCCCCCCACGUAGUGUUGUCUCUGCAUGCACAUUCCCUGUGCUAAGGGAAAACGCAGAUUCUAGAGAGUGGGGGAGGAGGAAGCACCCUAAGCAGCAAGAAUAGAUUCUGAGAGGAAACCCCUCUGACCUGAGACCUCUUUCAACAAAUUCAAGUGAGAACCUGGAGAGUUUGGGAAGAGAGAAGACUUUGGAACUCCCGGGUUUGCAUUCUCCCAGGACUUUCUGGCCCAGAAAGAGGGUGACUUGGGAGGAGUUACCACAACCACACAGAGAGUGACAGAGGGAGACAGUAGAGGGAGCUUAAGCCAAAAGGUUGAGUCAAGAGGUGGCAGUUACGGAAGAGUCGAGGGUGGGAAAGGAGCAACAGACCUUUUUGGGUGGGUAAGAGAGAAAACAAUGGCUCAGGUAAGGGGGCUGAUGUCUCGGUGGAGUCAAAUGUUCACUUCCUUCCUGAAGCCUGGACUGCCUGAUGUGGGCUAGUCUGCUCACUGUGGCUUCUUUCUUCCCCACUUGCUCUCUGUCUUCUCCACACUUUCCCCAGAGAAGGAGACCCUGACCCAGUUCCAGAUGAGUUGAUUUUUUUUCUCCUGAAAUUCUAAUUAGUCAGAGUUGUCUGAUCUUUGCUCCUGUUUAGAAAAGAGAAACUAGAUGAGCAUUUAUUGAGCGUCUAAUGUCUGUCAGUUACUUUUAGACGCUUUAGUGGUUCCUGUAUUUAUAUCUCAGAGGACCUGCAAACAUAUGUGAGUAUUUCCAUUAUGAGGGUGAGGAAAAUCUCUCAGAGAUAACAAAGGAAGUGUUCAUGGUCACAAAGUGUUAAAUUAUAAUUAGUAAUCAUUUUCUGGGAAAAUAUUUUGAGGCUAUGUAAAUCUCUUGUUGUUUGUCAAAAUUUCAUUCAAUACCUAUAACACUCAUUGAUGAUUCCUGCAUAAACCAGUCAUUACUACAAUAGCUGAAAAAUGGUGAUGUUGCAACUGUAUUACUUUUUGUUUUUAUGUUUCUCUUUUUUUAUGUAAUGAAGAGCUUUCCCUGCUACUUCAUUUAUUCAUAUAUUUAUAUCCGGAGAAAGUCAUGGAUCUUUAUUUUGCUCAAUGUGUCAUUCUUGAAUAAAUUAUCAUUUUUGAUUUUCAUGCUGAAAUUAUCUAGAUUUGUGCUGUAAGAG